UACGUAGGGUGCGAGCGUUAAUCGGAAUUACUGGGCGUAAAGCGUGCGCAGGCGGUGAUGUAAGACCGAUGUGAAAUCCCCGGGCUUAACCUGGGAACUGCAUUGGUGACUGCAUCGCUUGAGUAUGGCAGAGGGGGGUAGAAUUCCACGUGUAGCAGUGAAAUGCGUAGAGAUGUGGAGGAAUACCGAUGGCGAAGGCAGCCCCCUGGGUCAAUACUGACGCUCAUGCACGAAAGCGUGGGGAGCAAACAGG
rnacentral:rRNA from 1 species